UACGAAGGGGGCGAGCGUUAUUCGGAAUGAUUGGGCGUAAAGAGUUCGUAGGCUGUAAUUGUGGUUAUAUGUUAAAUACUAGGUUUAUGGCUUAGAAAUGCAUAUAAAACUCUUUUACUUGAGUAUAAUAGAGGAUAACAGAAUUUCAUACAUAGGAGUAAAAUCCGAUAAUUUAUGAAGGAAUGUCAGUGGCGAAGGCGGUUAUCUGGAUUAUUUACUGACGCUGAGGGACGAAAGCGUAGGGA
rnacentral:rRNA from 1 species